rnacentral:rRNA from 1 species
AUAUUGCACAAUGGAGGGAACUCUGAUGCAGCAACGCCGCGUGAGUGAAGAAGGUUUNNNGAUCGNACAACUCUGUCAUUGGGNAAGNAUAAAUGACGGUACCCAAUGAGGAAGCCCCGGCUAACUACGUGCCAGCAGCCGCGGUAAUACGUAGGGGGCGAGCGUUGUCCGGAAUCACUGGGCGUAAAGGGUACGUAGGCGGCUAUAUAAGUCAGGUGUGAAAUACCAGUGCUUAACACUGGAAUUGCAUUUGAAACUGUGUAGCUUGAGUGCAGGAGAGGAAAGUGGAAUUCUUAGUGUAGCGGUGAAAUGCGUAGAGAUUAGGAGGAACACCAGUGGCGAAGGCGACUUUCUGGACUGUAACUGACGCUGAGGUACGAAAGCGUGGGUAGCGAACA